GGUGAGAUGGCCGAGCGGUCUAAGGCGCCAGACUAAGGACCAGCACAUUCGAUGUGCCCUGUUAUCUGGUCCGAAAGGGCGUGGGUUCGAAUCCCACUCUCAUCA
rnacentral:tRNA from 1 species